rnacentral:rRNA from 1 species
UACGUAGGGUGCGAGCGUUAAUCGGAAUUACUGGGCGUAAAGCGUGCGCAGGCGGUUCGCCAAGUCAGGUGUGAAAUCCCCGGGCUUAACCUGGGAAUUGCGCUUGAAACUAGCGGGCUUGAGUGUGGCAGAGGGGGGUGGAAUUCCACGUGUAGCAGUGAAAUGCGCAGAUAUCAGGAGGAACACCGAUGGCGAAGGCAGAUCUCUGGGCCGUAACUGACGCUGAGGAGCGAAAGCGUGGGGAGCGAACAGG